CGGGUGAGUAACACGUAUGCCCCCCAACUGCCUGCCACAGCCGGAUAAUCGGGAGAAAUUCCGUCUAAUACGGCAUAAUGCAUCGACGGGACAUCCUGUUGGUGCCAAAGGUUGAUUCCGGUGGCGGAUGGGCAUGCGUCGCAUUAGUUAGUUGGCGGUGUAACGGACCACCAAGACGACGAUGCGUAGGGGUUCUGAGAGGAAGGUCCCCCACACUGGUACUGAGACACGGACCAGACUCCUACGGGAGGCAGCAG
rnacentral:rRNA from 1 species